rnacentral:tRNA from 1 species
GGCCUAGUGGUCUAAAGGCAUGAUACUCGCUUAGGGUGCGAGUGGCCCCGGGUUCGAACCCCGGCUGGGCCC